AUAUUUUGAGUUAAGCAUCUGUGGUUCUUAGCUGGAGCUGAAGAAUCUGCUGUGAUUAGCAAGAGACCAGAAGCACUAAAGUCAAACCUUUGUUUUACUGGGAUAAUUGAUACUGGAGAACGUUAUGUAGUUCAUGUCCACCAGGAAAAGACUCCCAGACUCGACUCAGAUUAUUUUUUGGGCAAUUGAUUAAAGCUGCUAACAGGACCACAGUCUCUAACCCAAAUGUGCCCAGAGGUGGGGAAAAUAAGGCCUUCAAAGGCAAAAACCAUGAGAGCUGUUCUGCUCUGUCAAGAUUAGGUGAUUGAUCAACGUUACCUCAAAAUAGAGUUUGAAUGACUGUGUAAGCAAGUUAGAGAAAUCAAAUCAGCUGUUAGGCCUUUCUCCAUGGGCCCCAAUGGCUUACUACCCUUUUACAAGGAACUGUUGCCAGUUAGGAAGGUGUUGGCUUGUUCAUGUAGGGAGAUUCCUGAUCUUAAAAAGAAUGUUGGGAGCUGCUCAGUCCAUCCUCCAACAGUUUCUGCACGGAAUUUGGCAUUUCUUUAAUAGUCCUGUUAGUUCUAUCUGUCCUAAGCUUGGGGGCCUAUAGACACAAUGCAAUUCCCAAUGUAUUUCUAGAGUUUAAGCGAUUUGUUUUGACAGUCUGGUUGUUAAUACUGGUCCCCAUUGUCAGACCAAAAAGAGUAGGGAAGGCAAAAUAGGGAAUAAUCUCUGUCAGUAACUUCUUAGUAACUAUAUGAGCCAUUUCUGAUCUGGUGAAAAUAACUCCCACCCAUCCUGAAAAGCUAGCUGCAAAAAACUAGCAAGUAUCAGUAGCCAAACUUGACAGAGUAACUUCAGUAAAGUCCAGUUCCUAAUGUUUCCCAGUCAGUAGGGCUGGCAAUAGGUGUCUAACGUCCCCUUACCUUGAUCAGUGUUGGGGUCUCAGAUUGGUAAAGCUGAGAGUAAUAUUCACUCAACUCAUCUUUCUUUGUCCACCUGGGGUUUUGUGAGAACCAGCAGAGUCAUGCUGGCUUCAGUCAUGUUUUGAUCCCUCUCCUCAGCAUUAGAAGAGCUGUCUAGAAGCUAUUUGUGAUCAUCAUGGGUCGGGAAAACAGUUUGAGUUCUUGUCCUGGCUUCCUUCAGCGAUGGACUACUGGAGAAAGAUAAGUCAAAUAAACCCUUUCCUUCAAAACUUGCUUUAUGGUCAUGGUGUUUCAUCACAGCAAAAGUAACCCUAGCUAGUACACCUUCCACAUGACUCAGCUAUAGCAAUUCUUAGCAAUUGUCCAAAGGAGCCUUCAUCUUACUUCACAGAUACUUGCUCAGCAACAAUCAUUGCAGCUCUAUUCAUAAUACCUAGUAAAUGUUAACAACCUAAAUGUCUUUCAACAGAUAAAUGGAUAAUGAAAAUAUGCUACAUAUAUCUGAUGGAAUGCUAUUCAGCUGAAAAGAAAAAAGGAGCUGAAAUUUGCAGAUAAACAGAACUAGAAAAGAUUGUAUUGAACAAGAAAAGACCAUGCACUAGAAUACACAUGGGCAAGAGGCCUCUGACAGAACUAACCUGAGUGCUUCCUUCCUUUGGACAAGCUUCCAUGGUUCUCUCUCUCUCUCUCAAGACCCCAUCACUGAAGAAUGACCUGCUGGAACAUGUCAUCAAACUGUAAAACAAGUGAAGCUAUGAAAACAUAUAGGAAUAAUCCUACCGGAUAGAGUAACUUCAAACAAAAACGAAUCAGAAGCAAUGAAGAGCGCCACUCUGUGGGUUCUCACCUUGGUCAUUUCUUUGGCGUUGAUGAAGACUUCAAUUAUCAUUCAAGGCUUAGGCACAGCGUUUGUACAUGGAGAGU